GUCCGGGCGCGGCCGCCAGGCAGCCCGCGCUGAGACCGACGGCUAGGCGCGCCGCCACGAUGAGCUCCGUCUAGCCGGCCGUCAAGUGGGGAUAACGCAAUCGAUCCGGAGGCAAGGCGACGGGCGCUAGUAAACGCUCGGCGCAGCUCUCCAGUGACGCGACCGAGGAGAACAAGCAACACCGGCCUCUUGACUUCGCUUCCCGCCAGUGAACCCCGCAACCCUACGCUGGGACAGUUGAGGUUGCCUGUGGCCCGGCUCCGCAGAUCGACAGGUUGUCAAACUACGUGAGCACUUUGCAAGAGCACUCAGCUGCCCCACGGUUUGAGAAGCAGCUGUUUCAGGGCUAAAUCAACCCCAACUCCAGCAGCUCCCUAGGGAUUUACUUUGAACGUUUCAAUGUGGCACAGUGGUUAAGAAUCUGCUUGCCAAUGCAGGGGACACGGUUUGAUCCCUGGUCCAGGGAGAUCCCACAUGCCGUGGAGCAACUAAGCCUGUGCGCCACAACUACUGAGACUGCGCUCUAGAGCCUGUGAGCCACAACUACUGAAGCGCGUGCGCCCUAGGGCCCGCGCACUGCAAGUACUGAAGCCCGCGUGCUCUAGGGCCCACGUGCCACAACUACUGAGCCUGCGUGCUGCAACUACUGAAACCUGCGCACCUAGAGCCUGUGCUCCACAACAAGAGAAGCCACCGCAAUGAGAAGCCCACGCACCGCAACGAAGAGUAGCCCCCGCUCGCGGCAACUAGAGAAAGCCCGCACACAGAAACAAAGACCCAACACAGCCAAAAAAUAAAACCAAAAAAACUUUUGCUCUUAAAUCAGUCUUAAAUCAUAUUAAAUCAACAACUUUUGGGGGGGUUUGUAUUUGCCUAAUAUACUUUUACCAUCAUUUAUUUUAAUGUUUAGAUUACAAAUGGCAUAAUGUGGUACAACCUUUAAAUCUGCUUCUGUUAUUAAGAAUGUUUUGCCCAUUUGCAUUUUCUGACCUGACCCUUAUACCAAUUCCUAUGUGCCACAAUAUUUAACAUUAUACCUUCGAUUUAAAUUUUAAUUUUUUUCAUAAUAUGGUUUGUAUUUUCUUUAUUCCUUUUUCACUAUUUCUUCUGAUAACUUGGAUGGUUUGAAUUUUGUUCUGAUGGUUAACUUUAUAAAUUUACUUUACAUUUCUUUAGACAAUAUCCUUUGACUUGCUUCUGUGAACAUUAUUAUAAUUAAUAUACUUUCCUUUCUCAUCUUUUUUCGUUCCCCUCCAUCAUGCAGUCUUAUUUAUUUUAUUCUUCUUAGUGUUAUUUUAUAUCUUUAAAUAUACCUUUAUUACUUGACUCAUCAGCUUCAGGUGGCAUAACUGUCUAUCCAGCGUAAAAGACAAGGAUGAAAUCAGCAUAUUUAUUCUUUUUUGCACCUUCAUCUUUUUUUCUUCUCACACCUUUUGUGGUAUUAUUUCUACAUUGAGAAGAUUUAUAAAAUUUACUGUAUUCAGCCCGUAUUUCCUUUAAUCCUAAUCCUGCAGUUUGAUGGAUUCAGUGUUCACUGCUAGUUUUUGGCCAGAGUCCGUCCUUUACUGAUUUCUUUAGUAAAGGGUCAUGGGAGCUGAGUUCUUGCCUAUUGUGAACUUCUGCUGUUGCCUUUUUGUGUGAGUGAGAGCUCAGUUGGCCUCCUUCAGUUACAUUCUCAGACCUCCUCUCACGCCACUGAGGCCACCACAGGCACUGGCACCUGUCUCCUGAUGUCACACGUGGCUGUGAGAGAAGCUGAGGCCGGCCUGACAGUUUCUUCUUAGAGAUGAUCCACCUAAUGUGUGUCUCUCCUUCGUUUGGUUUGGAUGCUCAAGAGAUGCUUUCUUUUUUUGUUGUUUUUGUUUUUGUUUUUGUUUUUGCGGUACGCGGGCUUCUCACUGUUGUGGCCUCUCCC